GACGAACGCUGGCGGCGUGCUUAACACAUGCAAGUCGAACGGAAAGGCCCUGCUUUUGUGGGGUGCUCGAGUGGCGAACGGGUGAGUAACACGUGAGUAACCUGCCCUUGACUUUGGGAUAACUUCAGGAAACUGGGGCUAAUACCGGAUAGGAGCUCCUGCUGCAUGGUGGGGGUUGGAAAGUUUCGGCGGUUGGGGAUGGACUCGCGGCUUAUCAGCUUGUUGGUGGGGUAGUGGCUUACCAAGGCUUUGACGGGUAGCCGGCCUGAGAGGGUGACCGGACACGUGGGGAGAGAGGUACAGUGGGAAGACCUAUGGGAGGGAGCAGUGGGGGAGAGGGUGAAAGGGGUGGAGUCAGAAACGAGUAACGACGGGUGCGAGAGGAGGGUAAUCGGGUUGUAAAAAGAUCCCGCUGGGGACGAAGCGCGAGGGGCGGGAAUGGGGAGAGAAGCAGCGGCUAACGACGCU
rnacentral:rRNA from 1 species